GGCUGUGGACCUCAGGAUGGCGGCCGUGGAGAGGAUGUUGGCAUUGGCGGCGCAGUGCGUCGCGACGGCGAAAAAGGACCGGCCGUCGAUACAGCGACUAAACGAGCAGUACAAGGGGGUUAAAAUAAAACCUGCAGGAGGUGAGAUUCCUCCUUCUAUCUUUGCGUUAUGUUCCCUGCAGGCAACAUGACCCUGGAGAUGAGAUUCUUGCUGCAGAUGGCGUUUUCCACUUCUAACUAGCAGCCCCAGGAACCCACCAAAGCAAUGUUUUGCAAUCAUGAUAAGCAGAUGGAGCAAGCCUAUGAGGACUUACUGAAUUCGUCAAAGCAGACUCUGGCUAGCAUGAUGGAACUGCAGGAGGCUUUGCUGGAGAAUAACCAGGCUGUAAAGGAUGCCAAUGGUAUCCAUCCAGUUUUUAUUGUACUGACAAACUGUGUAGGCACCGGUGCCAAAGGACAGAUGGGCGGCCUUGAGUUGCAGCUUCUUGACGGCUAAGCGGAGCUGCUGGCCAAUGGCGGGCAAGAGAUCGUGCAAUCCCCAUACAGGCAGCCGCAGUUGACGCCCCCUCGCCAACUCUCUCGUGUGGAGUCCAAUAAUGCCAAGUGACUUGGAAGCUUCACGGGCUUCUUUUCCUCAACAAUUCAAGAGCAUUAGCUUUGCUGUUUGGGAUGUCGGGCUGCCAGGACAAGGGGAGCCUUGGCGCAGUGGUAAAGCUGAUGUCUUGUGACCAUGAGGUCACAGGUUCAAGUCCUGGUACCAGCCUCUUGCAGAAAUGCAGGGAAAAGCUACAUACAAAAAGACUCAAGUGGUCGGACCCUUGACCCUCUGCUCAAGCGGGAGCUACGUGCACUGGGUUGCCCCCCCCUUUUUUUUUAUUUCCUUUCGGAUUGGAGGCUGAAUUGACAUUUGUAUAGACCUGUAGCACAGUAGCACUACUUGAAAUUGUGUUUCGGUUGUAACUUCUCAAUGGGUUACAUGGUUUGCUUUUUCUGUGGCAUCUUCAUUAUGCAGCAAUCUCAUGGAUUUCUGCUACCCUAAAGUGCAGUACAAACCUGAAGCAAUUUGCUGGUAUAAAAUUCCAAAUUGCAUGCACAAACAGGAAUUAGGGAAGUGGUUUUUAUUUGACAGUGAUAUAUUUGAUGACUAGCAUGCACAAUGUAAUCAAAAUCAGAGCAUUUUACUCUUGAGACGUCACUGAUUAGGAAUUCUAGAAUGUUAAUGUAUUCUUCUGUUCUACGAGCAAA